UACGGAGGGUGCAAGCAUUGAUCGGAAUUACUGGGCGUAAAGGGCGCGUAGGCGGUGAGAUAAGUCAGAUGUGAAAUUCCGGGGCUCAACCCCGGAGCUGCACUUGAAAUUAUUUCGCUAGAGUUCAGUUAGGGUAAACGGAAUUCCACGUGUAGCGGUGAAAUGCGUAGAUAUGUGGAAGAACACCGGUGGUGAAGACGGUUUACUGGGCUGAUACUGACGCUGAGGCGCGAAAGCAUGGGGAGCAAACAGG
rnacentral:rRNA from 1 species